UCAGGAUGAACGCUGGCGGCGUGCCUAACACAUCAAGUCGAACGGAGAAGGGGCUCGGUCCCCGGAUCAGUGGCGGACGGGUGAGUAACGCGUGAGCAAUCUGCCUUUCAGUGCGGGAUAACACAGGGAAACCUGUGCUAAUACCGCAUGACGCAUCACUGUCACAUGGCGGAGAUGCCAAAGAUUUAUUGCUGAGAGAUGAGCUCGCGUCCGAUUAGAUAGUUGGCGGGGUAACGGCCCACCAAGUCGACGAUCGGUAGCCGGACUGAGAGGUUGAACGGCCACAUUGGAACUGAGAAACGGUCCAGACUCCUACGGGAGACAGCAGUGGGGAAUACUGGGCAAUGGGCGGAAGCCUGACCCAGCGACGCCGCGUGAGGGAAGAAGGUCUUCGGAUUGUAAACCUCUGUUGACAGGGAAGAAACAAAUGACGUAACCUGUCGAGGAAGCCACGGCUAACUACGUGCCAGCCGCUGC
rnacentral:rRNA from 1 species